rnacentral:rRNA from 1 species
CCGUUGCCGGCGACCGGCGCACGGGCGAGUAACACGUAUGCAACCUGCCCGUGGCAGGGGGAUAAGCGGGGGAAACCCCGUCUAAUACCGCGUAACGCGGCCUUGGGGCAUCCCAAGGCCGCCAAAGGGAGCAAUCCCGGCCACGGAUGGGCAUGCGGCGCAUUAGCUAGUCGGCGGGGUAACGGCCCACCGAGGCGACGAUGCGUAGGGGUUCUGAGAGGAAGGCCCCCCACACUGGUACUGAGACACGGACCAGACUCCUACGGGAGGCAGCAG